rnacentral:rRNA from 1 species
UACGUAGGGGGCAAGCGUUGUCCGGAUUUAUUGGGCGUAAAGAGCGUGUAGGCGGCCUGACAAGUCUGCUGUGAAAACUCGAGGCUCAACCUCGAGAUGUCGGCGGAAACUGUCUGGCUAGAGUCCGGAAGAGGAGAGUGGAAUUCCUGGUGUAGCGGUGAAAUGCGUAGAUAUCAGGAGGAACACCGGUGGUGUAGACGGCUUUCUGGACCGACACUGACGCUGAGACACGAAAGCGUGGGUAGCAAACAGG